rnacentral:rRNA from 1 species
AUUGAACGCUGGCGGCAUGCUUUACACAUGCAAGUCGAACGGUAACAGGCCGCAAGGUGCUGACGAGUGGCGAACGGGUGAGUAAUGCAUCGGAACGUGCCCAGUCGUGGGGGAUAACUGCUCGAAAGAGCAGCUAAUACCGCAUACGAUCUAUGGAUGAAAGCGGGGGACCGUAAGGCCUCGUGCGAUUGGAGCGGCCGAUGUCAGAUUAGGUAGUUGGUGGGGUAAAGGCUCACCAAGCCAACGAUCUGUAGCUGGUCUGAGAGGACGACCAGCCACACUGGGACUGAGACACGGCCCAGACUCCUACGGGAGGCAGCAGUGGGGAAUUUUGGACCAUGGGGGCAACCCUGAUCCAGCAAUGCCGCGUGCAGGAAGAAGGCCUUCGGGUUGUAAACUGCUUUUGUACGGAACGAAACGGUCUGGGUUAAUACCCUGGGCUAAUGACGGUACCGUAAGAAUAAGCACCGGCUAACUACGUGCCAGCCGCCGCGGUAACAC